CCUACGGGAGGCAGCAGUAGGGAAUUUUGGGCAAUGGGCGAAAGCCUGACCCAGCAACGUCGCGUGAUUGAUUAAGCCCUUCGGGGUUUAAAGCUCUGUCAGUGGGGACGAAAAUUGCCGGUAGUCACAGAGUUUGCACCGACGAACUCCAUGCCAGCAGCCGCGUUAAUUCGGAGGGUGCGAGCGUUGUCGGGAAUCAUGGGGCUUAAAGGGUUCGGAGGUGGCAUAUUAAGCCUGGGGUUAAAUGCAGAGGCUCAACGACUGUGCGGCAGUGGAUACGGGUAAGCUUGGGUGCGCUGAAGGUAAAGGGAAUUCGUGGUGUAGCGGUGAAAUGCGUAGAUAUCAGGAGGAACACCGAUGGCGUAGGCGCUUUACUGGGCCGCAAUUGACGCUGAGGAACGAAGGCCGGGGUAGCAAAUGGGAUUAGAUACCCGAGUAGUC
rnacentral:rRNA from 1 species